rnacentral:misc_RNA from 1 species
GAUGAAGAACUCAGCGAAAUGCGAUAAGUAAUGUGAAUUGCAGAAUUCAGUGAAUCAUCGAAUCUUUGAACGCACAUUGUGCCCGCCAGUAUUCUGGCGGGCAUGCCUGUUCGAGCGUCAUUUCAACCAUCAAGCCCCCGGCUUGUGUUGGGGACCUGCGGCUGCCGCAGGCCCUGAAAACCAGUGGCGGGCUCGCUAGUCACUCCGAGCGUAGUAAUACAUCUCGCUCAGGGCGUGCUGCGGGUUCCGGCCGUUAAAAGCCUUAUUUACCCAAGGUUGACCUCGGAUCAGGUAGGAAGACCCGCUGAACUUAAGCAUAUCAAUAAGCGGAGGA